AUAAGAAUAGGGGUGAGGAGGACUGCUAGGACUUCAAAAUGAUCCAUGAAAGAUCUAAUCUAAUUCAUUUUAUUAAAAUAACUCAGCCAGCUGCUAUAGCCUGUAGCAAACUGAAAGUUGUGGCUAGUUUGAGAUCAGUAGUUUAAACGUAUACGUAAAUGAUAGGACUGUUAAGACCAGAGAGGACCUUCAAUUCUUAUUUUACCAGUAAGGAAUUUGAAUCUCAGAGAGGUUAAGUGAUUUUCCCAAGAUCUUAACAACUCUUGGAGUAUGAUCUCAACGAAGGAAAAGGAAACGAAGACAGUAGAUUUAGGAGCCCUUGAAAAUACCUUAGUCAAGACGUUCUCAAACCUUUCCACCAGUCCGCUGGAGCCACCAACAGGAAUCCACAAGGAGACAGCGAGAUGUCGUCUUCAUGAGAGGCAAUUGCUCAGCCACGGUCAUUCUGCUCCAGCGCCAUGCUGUGGUUGUUGCCUGACUUACACACGGGAUGAAAAGAUGGUUUCGAGAGUGGCAGUGAGGAGGAGCAGUUGGCUCAGGGAGCAUCAGUUCCUUGGGUGAAUUGUGUUCUUUUCUGGACUUCACCGGGAUCAUCUAUACUCUGGGAAACAGCAACAACCCCUCCUGUGGGCAUUUCAGUUUGUGGAAAAUGGUAGAAAACAGAACUGU
rnacentral:lncRNA from 1 species